AAUUACAUGUUAUUCGUUCUUG
rnacentral:miRNA from 1 species